GACGAACGCUGGCGGCAUGCCUAAUACAUGCAAGUCGAACGAACCGCGACUAGGUGCUUGCACUUGGUCAAGGUGAGUGGCGAACGGGUGAGUAACACGUGGGUAACCUACCUCAUAGUGGGGGAUAACAGUCGGAAACGACUGCUAAUACCGCAUAGGACAUAGGAUCACAUGAUCCAGUGAGGAAAGGUGGCGCAAGCUAUCGCUAAGAGAUGGACCCGCGGUGCAUUAGCUAGUUGGUAGGGUAAAGGCCUACCAAGGCGAUGAUGCAUAGCCGACCUGAGAGGGUGAUCGGCCACAUUGGGACUGAGACACGGCCCAAACUCCUACGGGAGGCAGCAGUAGGGAAUCUUCCGCAAUGGACGCAAGUCUGACGGAGCAACGCCGCGUGAGUGAAGAAGGUCUUCGGAUCGUAAAGCUCUGUUGUUAGAGAAGAACAGCGCAUAGAGUAACUGUUAUGCGUGUGACGGUAUCUAACCAGAAAGCCACGGCUAACUACGUG
rnacentral:rRNA from 1 species